rnacentral:rRNA from 1 species
AUACGUAGGGUGCGAGCGUUGUCCGGAAUUACUGGGCGUAAAGAGUUCGUAGGUGGUUUGUCGCGUCGUCUGUGAAAUUCCGGGGCUUAACUCCGGGCGUGCAGGCGAUACGGGCAUAACUUGAGUACUGUAGGGGAGACUGGAAUUCCUGGUGUAGCGGUGAAAUGCGCAGAUAUCAGGAGGAACACCGGUGGCGAAGGCGGGUCUCUGGGCAGUAACUGACGCUGAGGAGCGAAAGCAUGGGUAGCGAACAGGAUUAGAUACCCUGGUAGUCCAUGCCGUAAACGGUGGGCGCUAGGUGUAGGGGUCUUCCACGACUUCUGUGCCGUAGCUAACGCAUUAAGCGCCCCGCCUGGGGAGUACGGCCGCAAGGCUAAAACUCAAAGGAAUUGACGGGG